ensembl:lncRNA
GCACACACAUCCUUGGGUCGCUCCUCUUUUCAGUUCGCUGCAGCUAGUCUUCAUUCAAAGACUACAUUUUGGACACGCUUACUGACAGUUGUGGUUGCUUCGCGUGAUGUAUUUCUGUCUCUACCUUCUUGCCCUUUGCGCGGUUGUCUGUACCGUGUUUUGUGCUGCUACCAUGUUGUUUUCAUGUGUUGCUCAGUGGCGGUUCUAGACCAUUUCAACUGGGGGGGCCAAGCUGGGGCCAGUUACAUUAGACGUUAUUGUAGUCAUAUCGUUUUCUUCACUGCAUUGCAGGCAUUAGCAGGCAAAAGACCAUCAUAAUCAUUCAACAAUUUAUUUGCAUUUCCAUUAUAAUUUUCAUUUGCACUACAUAUUCAGUAUCAGGUCACAUCAACUGUAUUCUCCAGUUUUUGUGGGUUUUUUUGCAAAAAGAUCAGCAAAUUCAUCUAGACUCAAGGCCUUUGUCCUCCUUGACUCAAUACUUAAUACACCCAAAUUGCUUAAUCUGUCAUCUGACAUUGUGGACCUGAGAUACGUUUUCAUCAGAUUUAGUGCAGGGACUUCUCUUUGAAAAACACAUCACUUGUAGGGUUUAGAGUUUGGAUGCCAUUCAUUAUGUCAGUGUUUGUUAGGGAACCUUCUGUUAAGCUCAUUGAGCAUAAGAUCUAAAACAGGUACAGAGUCUCCAUUAAAUUGAGAGCUUUUUUGGUCGUUUUGCAGGGGGGUGUAUUGCAGUAUCACAUUGCUCAGCUGUGUUCAACACUUCAUUCCAUAGGUCAUCAAAAAAUGACUCAUCCCUGUAGUCAUUCAAAGUUUGAACUAAGGCUUCAACUAAAUCAACAGCCUUUGACAGGUCAAGUGAUGAAGACUGUAGCAUAUCUGAUAGAAAUGUUGCUUCUCCAAACACUUUAUGGAGUGUAACAAGGCACACAAUGAAUUGUAAAUCUAUCUGUGCAAGCAGACCUCGUGCCUCAACAAAUCUGUCACCAUUGUGUUCUUGGACUAUGUCUUGCAGGACUCGCUUAAUGGCAGGUAAUCUAUCCAUAAUAGUAUGUAGAGCCAUAUAUCGACAUGCCCAGUGAGUGUCACUUAGUCUCUGAAACUCUCUAGGUGCACCUGGGUACAUCUCUUUAUGUAUGCUAAGCCAUUUUUGAUGCACAUAUGAACCGGAUGUGAAGACGUAAAGUCUUUCUAGUAAGGAAAAGAACUGUCUGACCUCAGGGACAGUUUUGACUGUGUCCACUAAAACUAAGUUUAGACAGUGUGCACUGCAGUGGAUGUAAAAGGCUUUGCUUGUUCUUUAAUGUGUGCCUGGACACCUGAAUGCUUGCCACUCAUAACGGAAGCACCGUCAUAUGCUUGGCCUACUAGGUUGUUUUUGUAUUCAAGACCAUGACUUUCUAAUAUGUUUAUGAUUCUGUCAGUAAGCCCUGCUGCAUCUAGUCAAUCAGCAGAUUCAAAGCGGAGAAAGCUUUCAUGGACAGCUCCUCUGAAAUAGUACCUGAGUACUAGAGAUAUCUGCUCCUUUAAAACAUUUUAUUUUUACAUCUUUUAUUUUGUCUGCCAUUAUGCAAAAGACAUCACUGUUUUUCACUUCUAUCAUUUUUGUUCAAACCAUGUCUGCCAAACACCUCAGAACCUCAUUCUGAAUCCCUUUGCUUGUAUAUUUUGCAUUAUGAAUGGAAGUCAACCUUUUUUUCACAGUUGCGUCAUGCUUAGCUAUUGUUUCUAGGAUUGCCAUGAACUUUAUUAUCUGACUCUGCAGACUCCUCUUUGUGCAAUGUUUUGUGUGGCUGUAAGUAGUAGUACUUCUAUUGUUUUAAUAUUGUCCCUAUUUUCUUGAACCGGUUUGUUGUGUUCCUUGUUUAGGGCAUUUACCAGUGUUGCAUUACUUUGUACAGCUUUCUGAUAGUCUCUCCAUGUAAUCAUUGCUUGUUUGUGCCGCUCAGACCUCUUGCAUGAAUUGCAAAUCCCCCUUCUUUGUAAGUUGCCUUCUUCCAGUUGUUAAAACCCAAAUGUGAAUCAAAUACAGUCUGAGACUUUGGGAGGGCUAAAAUGCCUGCAGACGUAACAAAACACAGAGUCUGAUUCUUUUGAAUAUUCAAGGCAGGUGUAGAUAUGGUACCAGGCCGCCUUGAAGCUCCUCCUCCGGUCCCCCAUCAGAGUUCUUGGGUAUAUGUGCAUCAUUGGCUGCACCGGUGGUUCCUCUCAGGAUUUGCUGAUAU